rnacentral:rRNA from 1 species
CAACGAGCGCAACCCUACUUGCUAGUUACCAUCAUUAAGUUGGGGACUCUAGCGAGACUGCCAGUGAUAAACUGGAGGAAGGUGGGGAUGACGUCAAAUCAUCAUGCCCCUUAUGACCUGGGCUACAAACGUGAUACAAAUGGCUGGAACAAAGGGAUGCGAAGCAGUGAUGUGGAGCGAAACCCAUAAAAACAGUCUCAGUUCGGAUUGAAGUCUGCAACUCGACUUCAUGAAGUCGGAAUCGCUAGUAAUCGCGGAUCAGAACGCCGCGGUGAAUACGUUCUCGGGGUUU